GAUAACCUCGGGAAACUGGGUAUAAUACCCGAUAGGUCUCGAUUGCUGGAAUGCAUCGAGAUUUAAAGCUCCGGCGCCUAAGGAUGGGUCUGCGGCCUAUCAGGUAGUAGUGGGUGUAGCGUACCUACUAGCCUACGACGGGUACGGGUUGUGAGAGCAAGAGCCCGGAGAUGGAUUCUGAGACACGAAUCCAGGCCCUACGGGGUGCAGCAGGCGCGAAAACUUUACAAUGCUGGCAACAGCGAUAAGGGAACCUCGAGUGCCAGGUUACAAAUCUGGCUGUCGAGAUGCCUAAAAAGCAUUUCAUAGCAAGGGCCGGGCAAGACCGGUGCCAGCCGCCGCGGUAACACCGGCGGCUCGAGUGGUAACCGUUAUUAUUGGGUCUAAAGGGUCUGUAGCCGGCCGGAUAAGUCUCUUGAGAAAUCUGGCAGCUUAACUGUCAGGCUUUCAGGAGAUACUGUCUGGCUCGAGGCCGGGAGAGGUGAGAGGUACUUCAGGGGUAGGGGUGAAAUCUUGUAAUCCUUGAAGGACCACCAGUGGCGAAGGCGUCUCACCAGAACGGACCUGACGGCAAGGGACGAAAGCUAGGGGCACGAACCCGGAUUAGAUACCCGGGUAGUCCUAGCCGUAAACGAUACUCGCUAGGUGUCGGCCACGGUGCGACCGUUGUCGGUGCCGUAGGGAAGCCGUGAAGCGAGCCACCUGGGAAGUACGGCCGCAAGGCUGAAACUUAAAGGAAUUGGCGGGGGAGCACCACAACGGGUGGAGCUUGCGGUUUAAUUGGAUUCAACGCCGGAAAUCUUACCGGGACCGACAGCAAUAUGAAGGCCAGGCUGAAGACUUUGCCGGAUUAGCUGAGAGGUGGUGCAU
rnacentral:rRNA from 1 species